rnacentral:misc_RNA from 1 species
GGUGAAUGAUAUGACUUGUUGGUCAUGUAAAAGUGUGAUAACUUGGUGUCACAUAAAAAUGUGAUAAUCUGGCGUUUAGAAGUAUAUGUCUCUCUCUCUCUAAUAACUUUUGCUAUUGCUGCUUCUGAGCAAAGCAGUAACAGUGAUUCGGGUAAUAUUUGGUGGAAGCAAUGUUUAUGGGAGAUUGAGAUUUUUUUGUGUAUGUUUGAUGGAACUGAUGAAAGAUUUUGAAGAACUAGGCUUUGAUCCCCCGACUCUGAUCUAUUGCCUCCAUUUUGACAAUGAUGUAUUAUCAGAUUGAACAUUGUAAACACUUGUAGCUUAAAAGAUAAUGAUAUCAAAUGACUGGUAGAAAGUUGC